UACGAAGGGGGCUAGCGUUGCUCGGAAUUACUGGGCGUAAAGCGCACGUAGGCGGCUUUGUAAGUUAGAGGUGAAAGCCCAGGCUUAACCCUGGAAUUGCCUUUAAGACUGCAUCGCUAGAAUUGUGGAGAGGUAAGUGGAAUUCCGAGUGUAGAGGUGAAAUUCGUAGAUAUUCGGAAGAACACCAGUGGCGAAGGCGACUUACUGGACACAUAUUGACGCUGAGGUGCGAAAGCGUGGGGAGCAAACAGG
rnacentral:rRNA from 1 species